rnacentral:rRNA from 1 species
GGAAACUCACCAGGUCCAGACACGACAAGGAUUGACAGAUUGAUAGCUCUUUCUUGAUUUCGUGGUUGGUGGUGCAUGGCCGUUCUUAGUUGGUGGAGUGAUUUGUCUGGUUAAUUCCGAUAACGAACGAGACCUUAACCUGCUAAAUAGCCGACUUUGGUUGGUCGCUGGCUUCUUAGAGGGACUAUCGACGUCUAGUCGAUGGAAGUUUGAGGCAAUAACAGGUCUGUGAUGCCCUUAGAUGUUCUGGGCCGCACGCGCGCUACACUGACCGAACCAGCGAGUUUAUUUCCUUGGCCGGAAGGCCUGGGUAAUCUUGUGAAAUUCGGUCGUGAUGGGGAUAGAGCAUUGCAAUUAUUGCUCUUCAACGAGGAAUACCUAGUAAGCGUGAGUCAUCAGCUCGCGUUGAAUUCGUCCCUGCCCUUUGUACACACCGCCCGUCGCUACUACCGAUUGAAUGGCUUAGUGAGGCCUUCGGGUUGGCUUCUGGGAGCCGGCAACGGCACCUAGUCGCUGAGAAGUUUGACGAACUUGGUCAUUUAGAGGAAGUAA